rnacentral:tRNA from 1 species
GGGUGGUUAGCUCAGUUGGCUAGAGCGCCUGCCUUACAAGCAGGAUGUCACAGGUUCGAGUCCUGUACUGCCCA